AGGAUGAACGCUGGCGGUCUGCUUAACACAUGCAAGUCGAACGGAGUAGCAAUACUUAGUGGCGGACGGGUGAGUAACGCGUGAGAAUCUACCUUCAGGACGGAGACAACAGUUGGAAACGACUGCUAACCCCCGAUGUACCGAAAGGGCAAAUAUUUAUAGCCUGAAGAAGAGCUCGCGUCCGAUUAGCUAGUUGGAGAGGUAAAAGCUCACCAAGGCGACGAUCGGUAGCUGGUCUGAGAGGACGAUCAGCCACACUGGGACUGAGACACGGCCCAGACUCCUACGGGAGGCAGCAGUUGGGAAUCUUGGACAAUGGGGGAAACCCUGAUCCAGCCAUGCCGCGUGAGUGAUAAAGGCCUUCGGGUUGUAAAACUCUUUCGACGGGACGAUAAUGACGGUACCCGUAGAAGAAGCUCCGGCUAACUUCGUGCCAGCAGCCGC
rnacentral:rRNA from 1 species